AAAGAAUUAGUUAAAAAAUAACAUAAAUAUGUCAAAUUUAAAUUAUUAAUAAAUUAAUAUUCUUUU
rnacentral:tRNA from 2 species